GGUGCCAAGUACAACGUUUCCAUCUGGACAAAAGGAAGACAGCAAAUACAUGAGUGACUAAGAAAGGAGGAGAUCAAGACCAGCUGAAUAAGAUGUUCAGAGGGGACUGUGUGUCCUUGGGCUGGAAGACAGCUACUAAAGAAUGUAUGUACGUGCAGACUUGGAAGAACAGUUGGCCUGUGGAUGGGCACAGAUGUGUGAUGCCGUUUGCCUGCACAGCUGGAUCCUCCUGUGCAACCUCAUAAAAGAGGUUACACAUUUGCCUUAUGAUUAAGGAAAUAAAGUCAGUUAGUGUUGCAUCCAA